ACGCGAAGAACCUUACCAGGUCUUGACAUCCAGUGCAAACCUAAGAGAUUAGGUGUUCCCUUCGGGGACGCUGAGACAGGUGGUGCAUGGCUGUCGUCAGCUCGUGUCGUGAGAUGUUGGGUUAAGUCCCGCAACGAGCGCAACCCUUGUCAUUAGUUGCCAUCAUUAAGUUGGGCACUCUAAUGAGACUGCCGGUGACAAACCGGAGGAAGGUGGGGAUGACGUCAAGUCAUCAUGCCCCUUAUGACCUGGGCUACACACGUGCUACAAUGGACGGUACAACGAGAAGCGAACCUGUGAAGGCAAGCGGAUCUCUGAAAGCCGUUCUCAGUUCGGACUGUAGGCUGCAACUCGCCUACACGAAGCUGGAAUCGCUAGUAAUCGCGGAUCAGCACGCCGCGGUGAAUACGUUCCCGGGCCUUGUACACACCGCCCGU
rnacentral:rRNA from 1 species